rnacentral:tRNA from 1 species
GCCUUCUUAGCUCAAUGGAUAGAGCGUCGGCCUCCGAAGCCGCAAAUGUGCGUUCAAUUCGCACAGAAGGCA